AUUAUGUGAAACUCAUAAAAGGUUUAAGAUAUUUUGCAUUUAAUGGUUUAGAAAACAGUCUUCCGCAGCCGCAUGAAGCAAAACCAAAUUCUAUUUUUAUAUUUGAUGACGUAGUAUGUCUUAAACAAAAUCUUAUGAAAGCAUUUUACCAUGGGACAACAUAAAGGUAUUGAUUCGUUUUACUUAUGUCAAACAUAUUCACAUUUAACAAAGCAUCUAAUCCGUGAUAACGCUAAUUUAAUCGUUCUUUUCAAUCAAGACAACCUAAACUUACGACAUGUAUAUGACGAUCAUGUAAAUACUGAUGUAUCAUUCGAUAAAUUCAAAGAAAUAUGUUCAAUAUGUUGGAAGAAAAAUUAUGAGUUUUUAGUGACAGAUAAAGAAAGGGAUAUUAAUAAUGGAAGAUACAGAACCGGAUUUGAGUUUUACUUUAAUUAUGAGUUGACGUUCUUAUUGUGAACUCAUCAUCUUACACAAUAUCUUUUACUAUGUGCAUUUAGCAGGUAAUUUAUCUUAUUACAAUAGAGUUCGUUACAAAGAGCUCACGAUACAUUACGAUUUGAUUUAUUAAAUUGAUAUCUUUUUGGUCUUUGAGGUUCUUGGGGUUAUCACCACACAAAACACGUUUUGAAUGUCCUUUUUUUCACUCAUUUUCUUGAUUAACUGGGGCAAAGCCCUCGUUAUUCAAGAGCAAAUUCGUGAAAAAAAAAGUAUAACUUUCAAAACUAGUUGUACAAAUAACUAUUCCCGUUUUUUUUAAUGUAGCUGUAAAUGCUGAUUCACACAAAAAGUGUCAUUAGUGUCAUUCAGAACAAAUUUAAUCACAUCAAUAAUGACAAAAUCAAAAACCUUUAUGUUUGCCACCCUAUGUUAAUUACGUUGUUGGCUUUAAUUAUUUUUUGCUAGGGUACACAUUUUUAGGAAGGAUUGAAAUUAGGAUUGUCUGAAUUUUCGCAUGGUCGCCAACUUAAAAUGAUCCCUUUCAACGACUACUUGGAUGCACAUUAAUAUGAAAACGACGACAGAUCAUUCUCAUGUAUGCUUCCCUCAGUUUGAAGAAAAAUGUUUCAGGAAUAUUAACAAACGAUAUUCUCUACCUAUAAAUCUACGAUGGAUCAAAUAUGCCAAGUCAUUUGUUCAGGAAGAUAAACAUAGUAACACGACGAAAAGUUACAAAGAAACAUGGGAAAAUAAAGAGACGGUGCUCAUUCAGACAAAAUGUGUGAGGAUUUCUAGAGUAUCUCUGUAGAGAAAGGUUACACUGCGAAUAUUAUUCUUUAUGGUUUAUGCUUGGCGGUUAAUUUUGUUUAUUUUAGAUCCACUUCCGAGGGUUUCAGAUUUUAUGGAAGGAGGGAGAUUAAUAAUCACUCAUGAUGAAGAAUUAAACACGCAAGCAAUUCAGUUUUUGUAAAAAU